UUCUGCUACUGACAGCAACAUAAAAAUGGUACUGUCCAGUGGAUGCAAGUAUGCAACUUAAUCUGUUCCAAGGGCUAAUGUGCCAAUGUGAAAUGAAACAAAAUGCUCCUUCCGAUAAGAUUUUGUAGUUCAAUGAACUUCAAUGACUACGAAUUGUUGCAAAGAUAAUCCAAACAAGCCACUCCUUCCCUUCAUAUGCACUGCAGCAGACAAAAUAUGGACAAGUGCAAGGAAGUUUUCGCCAGAACAAAGCAGUACUACAAGUCUACAAUCUGGCUUGAAGUCAUGGGAAGUUUUUAAGUCCAGUUUGAUUCAUGUUGAGUUACUACUGAAGUUGAAGCUUCCUUAAGAAUCGCCAGCAUGCUUCUUGUACAUUAAAAUGAUCAGUCUUAGAUGAAGCAUGGGCUCUCGUUUUUCGUCAUUUUCUUGUUUUGAAUAAUAUGAUGUGGAGGGCUAGAUUGAUCACACAAAGAUUAUUUUAUCACUUCUGUAAUUGUUCUCCAAGGAUCUCUCUCAAAAUAGAACAAGAGCAGGAUAGCUGCUCUUGACUACUUUCAAAUAUGUAACUACUCUUAGCUGCUUCCAAAUAUGUAAUUAUGUACGAGCACCCAU